rnacentral:rRNA from 1 species
AGAGUUUGAUCAUGGCUCAGAAUGAACGCUGGCGGCGUGCCUAACACAUGCAAGUCGCGCGAGAAAGCCCCUUCGGGGGUGAGUAAAGCGGCGGACGGGUGAGUAGCGCGUGGACAACCUACCCCGGGGUUGGGGAUAACCCUGCGAAAGCGGGGCUAAUACCGAAUACGCUGUUCUUUUCCUGGGUGAUUUGUUUCACCGAGGAAGGGGAUGGGAAAGGUGGCCUCUGGAUCAAGCUACCGCCCCGGGAUGGGUUCGCGUCCCAUUAGCUUGUUGGUGGGGUCAAGGCCCACCAAGGCGACGAUGGGUAGCCGGCCUGAGAGGGUGAUCGGCCACACUGGGACUGGAACACGGCCCAGACUCCUACGGGAGGCAGCAGUGGGGAAUCUUGGGCAAUGGGCGCAAGCCUGACCCAGCGACGCCGCGUGUGGGAAGAAGGCCCUCGGGUCGUAAACCACUGUCAGGAGGGAAGAAAAGCAGAUCCCCAACAGGGGUCUGUAUUGACGGUACCUCCAGAGGAAGCACCGGCCAACUCCGUGCCAGCAGCCGCGGUAAUACGGAGGGUGCAAGCGUUAUUCGGAAUCACUGGGCGUAAAGCGCGCGUAGGCGGCAGCGCAAGUCAAAUGUGAAACCCUCGGCUAAACCGGGGAAUUGCAUCUGAAACUGCGUANGUAGAGUUCGGAAAAGGCGGCGGAACUCCCGGUGUAGGGGUGAAAUCC